rnacentral:tRNA from 1 species
UCUUUAAAAUUUUAUUAUUCUUCUUUAACGCGAAAAGUUAAUGUGUUUUCAUACACCAUAAAGAC